CCUGUGUCUCUCCUCCUUUUUCCAGCCCUGCCUUCAACUGUCACUGAGACAGCUGUUACAGCUCCAAACCUAAACCUGGCCUGGCUGUGGGAUCUUCUGAGAUCCCUCAGAAAACUUGCCAUUCGGAAAGAUCAGCUACUCCUACAUCCAAUGAUACAGUACCCUCCAGGCUAAAAUUUGGACCAGAAAUCAGAAAUUCUUAACCAGAGGCUUGUAAUUUUUCUGAGCAAACCCCAUCCCUCUUGUUUGAAAGAAGGCAACUUGGCACUGAUGGGAAGAGUGACCCAGUUGUCCAAGCUAAGCCGUCUGACCCAUGCAGAGAACGCCAUCGAUGGUCGCCUGGAUGCAGAGUGCCUCUCUGGCUCCAGUGCCCACACCCAGCUUCAGAGCGCCCCCUGGUGGAGGGUGGACCUGCUGGCUGUUCACAAAGCCACCUCCAUUACCAUCACUACCGGAUUGGACUGCUGACCCUGGAGGCAGGACGCGGCAGAGAUUCUCAUCGGAAGCUCCCUGAAGAACAACGGCAACAGUAACCCUCAGUGUGCUGUGAUCUCAUCCAUAGCGGCUGGGGACUCUGUCACCUUCCAGUGCCACGGGAUGGAGGGACAUCAUCCGCCUGGGCUGCUUCAUCCCGUGCUUGGUGGGUAUAUGAUGGAUUAGAAUUGGGGUAAAUUCAUAGAGAUGUACUAGAGAGCUCAUCCCCUAUCUUUGCAAUGGCCACUUCUGUGAGAGCAUGGGCAGCACCAUUGAGGGCUGUCCCCAUUUUAAUGUUGUCAAUUUCUUCUUCUUCUAUGAGUGUAUUGGCAGUACCAAAAUAAACUGAAAAGGUGCAUACCACUACCUACUUUGCUGGAGUGUGUAUAGUUUGAACAGAUAGAUUUACUGCCACCUGCAAUUAUGGAAUGUUUCCUCAGGUGUAUACAGGUAAUUCAUUGGCUGAACCCUCCUACUGACCUACUGUGAUCCUUCCUUAACCCAUUGCAAGUCCUACCCAUUUGACUACUUCAAAAUGGUGAAAAUCCUCAAUGCACAUGCUGAAACAGGUUUUGGGACACAUGCUCCCUCUAACCAACUCAAUGGGUCAAUUACAUUUCAACACAGUUGAUUCACGGAAGGCCGAAUCCUAACUUCAAAUCGAUGUAUUUACCUCAAGUUUCAUGCAUUAGGAUUAAGCCUGAAAUGAGUUGACAUGUGGUAGUUUCAACCCUGCUUUUGAAUUGAUUUCCCUCACUUCUCGUCUUCUAUUUCUCUACUGACGAAGAGACCUAUAAUCAAAACAGUACAGACGAAGAGACGUUUGACCAUGAGAAAAUAUCAUUUGAGACACAAUAUCCAGUUGAUACAGUGCAUGGUAAGUUACCCACAUAGUCUGCAAACUGCAAGCAAACCCUUUUGCAUUCGUUGUGUCACGAAGGCUGUUUACAUAGGCAGCUCACUUCUGAUUUUUUCACUAAUUUGUCUUUUGACUAAUCAGAUUAGCUCUGAUUAUGAGCUGAUGUGAAAAUAUCUGAUGUGAUUGGUCAAAAGACAAAUUACUGGGAAAAAGAUUAGAAUUGGGUUGCCUUUGUAAAUGCAGCCUAUUACACUUACACUGCCUUCAGAAAGUAUUCACACCCCUUUGACUUUUUACACAUUUUGUUGUGUUACAGCCUGAAUUUAAGAUGGAUUUAAAAAAUAAAAAAAUGUCACUGGCACAAUAUCCCAUAACGUCAAUGUGGAAUUAUGUUUUUCAAUUUUUUUUUUACAAAUUAGUAACAAAUGACAAGCUGAAAUGUCUUGAGUCAAUAAGUAUACAACCCCUUUGUUAUGGCAAGCCUAAAUAAGUUUAGGAGUAAACAUUUGCUUAACAAGUUGCCCCUUUGAACAUGGUGAAGUUAUUAAUUAUACUUUGGAUGGUGUAUCAAUACACCCACUCAAUACAAACUCAGUUGCCGGAAAGGAAGGAAACCGCUUAGGGAUUUAUCCAUGAAGUCAAUGGAGACUUUAAAACAGUUACAGAGUUUAAAGGCUGUGGAAGAAGAAAACUGAGAAUGGAUCAACAACAUUGUAGUUACUCUUUGCUUAUUUGAGCUGUUCUUGCCAUAAUAUGGACUUGGUCUUUUACAAAAUAGGGCCACCUUCUGUAUACCAUCCCAACUGAUUGGCUCAAACGCAUUAAGAAGGAAAGAAAUUCCGCAAAUAAACUUUUAACAAGGCACACCUGUUAAUUGAAAUGCUUUCUAGGUCAUUACCUCAUGAAGCUGGUUGAGAAUGCCAAGGGUGUGCAGAGCUGUCAUCAAGGCAAAGGGUGGCUGAAGAAUCUCAAAUAUAUUUUGAUUUGUUAAACACUUUGUUGGUUACUACAUGACUUCAUAAGUAUUAUUUCAUAGUGUUGAUGUCUUCCCUAUUA
ensembl:lncRNA